rnacentral:rRNA from 1 species
ACUAUUGGGGCAAGCAUACUAUAUUUAUAAUGGAAAUUUACUUGUUUAUGAAAUUGAAGAGUCUUGGUUAGGUGAAAUUUCCAAGAUUUUUAAUUCUUUUGGUAAAUUAAGAAAACUUUAGUUUUAAACUAGGAUUAGAUACCCUAUUAUAAAAAUAUUGUAAAUUAGGUAGUAAAGAAAUCUCUGAAACCUAAAGAAUUUGGCGGUGUUUUAAAUAAUUGGAGGAACCUGUUAUUUAAUUGAUAAUCCACAUCAUAUCUUACCUUAUUUUUGUUUGUAUAUCGUUGUUUAAGACAAUAUCUAAAGAUUAUAGUCGAGUUUAAUUGUUUUUUAAAAAUCAAAUCAAGGUGCAGCAUAAUAAGGGUUUAAUGGGUUACAAUACAGAUUAUGUAAACGGAUAUAGAGUGAA